ACUCUUUGCAUGGCCUGGUCUGCAGCGAUUGUGAUGCUGGUUCUCGGCAACCACUUACUUUUAGCUGAUGUGUGACACAGCGCUGACAUCAGCAUGUCCGUCACUAUUGUAUGCCGCCCUCAGUGAGGUCAGCAUGAAGUUGAUGACAGGUUCC